rnacentral:lncRNA from 1 species
CUCAGGUUUAUGAAGUUUUGCGCCCAAAAUAAUCGCUUACAGAAUAUGAGUAUUAUUCAAAGAUAGCAGUAAAUUAUGUGCGUUAGACGAGCAAUGAGAUUUCCAAGGUCGUCAACAAGAGUUUUAUUUAUAUUGCUGAGGUGCUUACUGCAUAACAUGUACGAUAUUGUUAAAGGUACUAUUUUUGUGUUAACUGUGCAUGUAUGAUCUAUUUCUGUAGUCUCCUUUGCAUUAUUAGAACGGUACGCUUUAUAGGGUCAUUGACAAGAGUGAGUUUACAUGCAGGCUUACAUGCCAUUUAACACUGGGUGCUACCUUCUUGAAGCAAACAUAGGGGGGUUGUUUUCUUACAUUCAUAUUUUCAGUUGGAUUCCACAAUAUAUUGAUAUCCUGAAAGUUAGUAUUGUGAUCUCUAUCUUUUUACCCACGUGCUCUCUCUACUAAUUCU